GACGAACGCUGGCGGCGUGCCUAAUACAUGCAAGUAGCACGCAGUUGCGAACGGGUGAGUAACGCGUCGGUGAAUUCCUCAUAGCAGGGGGUAACUAUUUGAAACGAUAACUAAUACCGCCUACUUUGACCUGGACCUGAGUUGUAUUAGGUAGUUGGUGAGGUAAAGGCUCACCAAGGCGACGAUCCAUAGCCGACCUGAGAGGUGGAUCCGCCAAAACGGGACUGGGACACGGCUCAGAAUUCUACGGGAGGCAGCAGGAGGGAAUCUUCGGAAAUUGACGGAAGGCUGGACGAGCAACGCCGCGUGAGUGAAGAAGGUUUUCGGAUCGUAAAGCUAUGUUGUUAGAGAAGCGGUAACUACACAGAAAGGGCCGGCUAACUACGUGCCAGCAGCCGCGGUAAUUC
rnacentral:rRNA from 1 species